UGUAAACGAUGAAUACUAGGUGUUGGGGUCAACAGACUUCAGUGCCGCAGCUAACGCAUUAAGUAUUCCGCUGGGGAGUACGGUCGCAAGACUGAAACUCAAAGGAAUUGACGGGGGCCCGCACAAGCAGCGGAGCAUGUGGUUUAAUUCGAAGCAACGCGAAGAACCUUACCAAGGCUUGACAUCCUACUAAUCUCCUAGAAAUAGGAGGUCCCUUCGGGGGAGUAGAGACAGGUGGUGCAUGGUUGUCGUCAGCUCGUGUCGUGAGAUGUUGGGUUAAGUCCCGCAACGAGCGCAACCCCUAUUGUUAGUUACCAGCGAGUCAAGUCGGGAACUCUAGCAAGACCGCCAGGGAUAACCUGGAGGAAGGUGGGGACGACGUCAAAUCAUCAUGCCCCUUAUGUCUUGGGCUACACACGUGCUACAAUGGCAGUUACAGAGGGUUGCGAGACCGUAAGGUGGAGCGAAUCCCAGAAAAGCUGUCUCAGUUCGGAUUGAGGGCUGCAACCCGCCCUCAUGAAGUCGGAGUUGCUAGUAAUCGCGAAUCAGCAUGUCGCGGUGAAUACGUUCCCGGGCCUUGUACACACCGCCCGUCACACCAUGGAAGUUGGGAGCGCCCGAAGUCAGUACCCUAACCGCAAGGAGGGGGCUGCCGAAGGUGAGAUCAAUGACUAGGGUGAAGUCGUAACAAGGUAACCA
rnacentral:rRNA from 1 species